GAAAGUACAUCAGCCAGGGGGCAGUGUCAGAGACGCAGCACUGGGAGAGGAGGACAUCGUCAGGCUGGCCCAGGACCAGGAGGAGAUGAAGAUCACCACUGGAUUGCUGACAGAUAGAGGAGGUGGGACCCUGACUAUCACCCCUAAUCUGCAGUGGAUUUGGCUCUCGGCACUCCCAGGCUGGGAGCUGGAUACCUGCCCUGGCAGCAUGGCUCAGACUGCAUGACAGAGAACGUGGCCAGUGGAGACGGCACACUGGAAAUCAGAGUGAAUGUUCUUGAAAGAGGGUCACGGGUCAACAAGGCCCAGCCAAAGGAUGCAGUAGAACCAUUUUCCUUAGAAAUCUUUGGGAGUGAAGUAGGCUUCAGCCACUCCCAUCCCUGCCCUUGCGGCUACCACUACCCCAUUAGUUUAGACAGGGUCGGGCGGGGAGGGGUGUGGAGAAGAAAUGAGCUUGCCUGUGGCCCCCAGGCUCCC
rnacentral:lncRNA from 1 species